UAGGUGAGGGGAGCGAAGUAGUGGUAAUCCAGGCAGCGUGUGUGAAGAAGGCCUUCGGGUUGUAAAGCACUUUCGUUAAGGAGGAAAGGUUGCUUGUUAAUAACACUGGCCUGUGACGUUACUUACACAAGAAGCACCCGCUAACUCCCUGCCCACCACCCCGGUAAUACCGAAGGUGCCAGCGUUAAUCCGAAUUACUGGGCGUUAAGCGUACCCAGGGUGUUUGUUUAACUAUAUGUUAAAACCCCGGGCUCCACCCGGGAACUGCCUUUCGAACUGGCAAACUUUAGUGUGAUAAAAGGUGGUAGAAUUUCCAGUGUAACGGUGAAAUGCCUAAAAAUCUUAAAGAAUACCCAUGGCCAAAGCCGCCACCUGGGUCAACACUGACCCUUAAGUACGAAAGCGUGGGGAGCAAACAGGAUUAAAUACCCCGGGUAGUCCAA
rnacentral:rRNA from 2 species